CAUCCUCUCAUCUGCGUCUCCCCCUCGGCCAAGUUUUCCGGAAACAUCCGGCUGGAAGGAUGCUCCAGGGAGCGGAGCGGGCAAAAAGCAGGCACUGGGGGUGGCCCCAGGACUCCUCCAGCUGCAGCUACCAGCUGCCCCAAAGAACAGAGCAGUGCCCUUCCUGCUUGGGAAGGGAGCGAGGGCUACGGCAGCAGCGGGAAGUUGUCAGUUCUGUGUGCUGGGUUUCUCUGUGCCAGGCGUCACCAGUGCGCACGCGGCGUCCGCAGAUCUUCCAGGCACCAGUGUCUCAGGGAGGACACUUGGUGAGGGUGCUGUCCCGGAGCCCCCAGACCCACCAAGCCACAAGAAAUCCAAAAGCCCAGGGCAAGACAGGGCCAGGCAGCCGUGUCCCUAAACGGCUGGGCUGUGGGACCCAGGGCUCCGCGCGGCUCUUCUUG
rnacentral:lncRNA from 1 species